UAUAAUGACACCUCCUUUUCUUAUGUAGGCUAUGUUUUUUUGGUUUUUAAUGAAUCCGGCCCAAUUCAUCUGUUAAGGUUCGUGGAUUCAUCUAUACAAGGUUUUUCUUUUUUUGUAUAAUUUUUUUUUCGGAAAUUCUUUUAUUUUGUGACAAUCUUUUGAAAAAACUCUAUUGGUUGUUGAUGUAAUCUUUUAAACAUGGUUUGAGAUCGUUUUUAAGUGUACUCGACCAUCUUUUGAGAAC
rnacentral:lncRNA from 1 species